rnacentral:rRNA from 1 species
GGAUUAGAUACCCUGGUAGUCCACGCCGUAAACGAUGAUAACUAGCUGUCCGGGGACUUGGUCUUUGGGUGGCGCAGCUAACGCAUUAAGUUAUCCGCCUGGGGAGUACGGUCGCAAGAUUAAAACUCAAAGGAAUUGACGGGGGCCUGCACAAGCGGUGGAGCAUGUGGUUUAAUUCGAAGCAACGCGCAGAACCUUACCAGCGUUUGACAUGUCCGGACGACUUCGAGAGAUCGAUUUCUUCCCUUCGGGGACUGGAACACAGGUGCUGCAUGGCUGUCGUCAGCUCGUGCCG